UGAGGUUGAAAUAUUGCCUUAAAAUGAAUGAGAGCUGUGGGUGCCUGAAAGCACAAACGAGCCCCAGGUUCUGGUUGUUGUUCUCAGAGUUUAUUUCAACCACCAACAUGCACCUGCAGCCCUCACCUCAUCGCAGGAUGACCAGCAUCCACCCUGCAGCACAGCACCCCAGUGCUUACAGCAGCUACACUGCAUCCCUUCCCAGGAAGCACAGACUGAGAGCAGAGCAGCUACACCUGUCUCCUGCCAUGGGUCUGAUGAGCUGAUACCAGCCACGCUGAUAAUGUCUGACGUGCUCUGAUAGCACUGAUCAGGGCAGGAUCUCUGCACCCAAAAUUCCUGAAAGCUUCACCUCCCUGCAGUUCUCUAGCUCACCCCCAGCCCUACUGUUCCUCGUGGGUCUUUCCACCUGCAAACUUCUCUAAUUCCAUAUGUAAGGUUUUCAUCCCCAGCACUUGUCCCUGCUAAUCUCCACCCCCUUGUCCAUUCAGUGUGAGAUAACAGCAGCUAUGCAGGUGGUGCAGUGAUGAGAGCUGGUGGGGCUACAGCUUGCAUGCCUUGCUGGGAGCAGGGAGCCCACUGGGAGAGGUGCUAGGUUCAAGCAGCCAAGGAAAGAGGAAGAAGCGAGGAAAGAAGUAAUGCCAUCCGACACGAAGUCAUUCAGCCCCUGGGCUGGAUCAUUGUCAGCAUGUCCCUGGUGAACCUCUUAGUCUGUUGCUUCAAAGAGGCCCCAGUGUUUCUCUCCUUUGUUGGAGACUCCUGAAGCACAGCUUUGAGAACAGCAUCCCCAGGGGUCUCGCUGGAGUGCUACCUUGCAUCUGUUACUCAUCCAGUUCCUAUGUCACUGUGUUUGGCUACAGGAAAAUCCAGCAGUACCCCACUGAGUCCUGAAACAUGUCUGAAACUUGAGAAACCCUCCGUUGUCCAGAGCGGAGCUGUGAUCUCCUGAAGCUCUUUGCGUGUUCUCCAGUAUUGCAGACAGAAAAGCUAGGAUGGAUUUGAUCAGGCACUUGAGAUAAAACCCCUGCCACCUUUCUGGAAACGUCUUUUAGAUCGUGCUUAAAAUUCAGCAGGUUCCCAUCCCUCUUCUCCUCUCAUCUCGUGAUAAUUGUGAGCCAUCACCAACCAGAUGAGCAGCCUAAUCAGAAACCAAAUCCAGCAAACAUCAAGCAAUGGAUUCAACCCCAGAGAUGUGUCACAGGAAAUAUCCCUCAGAAAGCUGAUUUCCAAAGGCAAAGCAGCAGGUAAACAUUUACCUUCCAUCAGAUGAAAGCAAAUGGAAAUACCUGCAUCACCGCCAGUCAGCGACAGCCCAUAAUAAACAACAGAUCAAGUACAUAUAUGCCCCAAAGGACUUGUUACUUUGGAAAAUCAUAGCAGGGAAAGUAGGUAUUCUUCACUACUGUCGCUGGCAGGCGUGUUUCUAUUUCCAAAACAGCGUACCAAGAAAGAAAACAAGCAGCAAAAAGCUGCUGUCUGAAAGGCCAGACAUUACAGGAAUACGGGCGGCCAGCAGAGCUGUCACAGAUUCUGUUUUCAGAAUUCAUGGUUUUAUUAAGGCAAGAACAGGAUCGGGUGCUAUGCUAUAGAAGUUUAUGGCUUCCAGCACCAAGCACUUAUUUCUCAGCGAAACAGAAAUCAUGAAGUCACGAUGCCAGGGCACAUUUUCCUAUGCCAGCUCGUUUUGUGUGUAACAGAGCUGAGAAAAUAAAGGAAAAAUGCAACUUCAAACCCUCACGGUAACAUUCCUUUCUAAACCCCAGUACAGACCUGGGACCAAGUUCACCUCGUAUCCUGUUUUUACUUAAUCAUUUGGUUUUGACUGGCGGAUGAAAUCCAGUGCCUCUCUUGUGGGACCACUGGUUUUGCAUCUCUCUGCAGGGGAUCCAGUUCAACUUCUGUUCCUUCAGGCCUUGCAGCCUGGAGUAAAGAUUAUUUCUGAACAGCUUGACCUCUUCUGGAGACAGAUCUCUGCAGAAACAGGUCCCUGCAAAAGCGUUUUUGUGGCUGCUGUGCGGGUACAAAUGGUACCUGGGAUUCCCUGUUCUUUUUUUUUUAUUAGAGGCUCUGGGCUUUCACAAUUCAGUGCAUGCUGUAAGACACACAGAGGCAGCAAAAGGCUCCUGGUAGCCCCUGGCAAAGGCUAUCCAUCAGUGCUCAUCUUUUCCCACCUACCCAUGGGGAGCAAGAUGUGUUUCCUAACAAGAAGUGCUCCAGAGCCUUCAAAAUUGUUCUGAUCAUUGAAAACUGACCCCAAAAGGAAGGCAGGCAGGACAAUAUUUCAGGGAAAGAUUUGAUUCCUCCUCCAAAACAUCUUGAAACGAGCCCUGGAACCCUGCUGUGUUGGCCAUUGAAGGCAGCAAGGUAGAAGACGACACGUGCCCCAAGCCUAAUUCAGACUAACAUUCCCUACAGCCUCACCUUCCUCCAUUUACCCACAGAUCAGGUACAGCACAGACACUUGCUCUGUUCAUCUUCCCAUGCUGCCAAAUUAACACUAGCGAGGAGCACCACUUGUCGGAGAGAGCCGGCAAUUCAGCUGAGAUGUGCAACACGGGGGAUGAACACAGCACCAGUAAGCUCCAGGUAGGUCCCAGUCCUGCUGGACCCAUGCUGAGAGCUCUGAUUUUAAGGGCUGUUUUCCUCAAUAAAACAUUACCUCUUUGUGCUCUCCCCCAGCUCCCUCCAGCAAUAUAUUCUAUUUAGAUCAGCCCCAGAGAGAGAGAUGUAGCCUGCCUGCUCUCAGAGCUUUAUGUAGUUUAAGUAGAAAAGCAAAUAUUCCACCUUCCUGCUGCAGUUUGCUUAGCUCCUGGCCAGCCAUCAGCUGCUGAGGGUGCACCCUAAUCCCUUCCUUCAUGCAGGUACUCGUUCUUAUUCAGGACAGACAGACAGCUGCAUAAAGAAGCACGGGGCAGUCUGGCAUCACCAGAAGCACUGUAAAACCUGGGUUUGUUCAGCCACGCUGAAGAAGUCUGGAAGGGAGAUGAAUUCAAGCAAACAGUGCACUUUGGGGUUACACCAGAAGUUUCUUAAGGCUGUUGUUCCGCAGACACUUGGUGAGUAAAAAGUUAUCACAAGGCAAGAUGAGUUCCCUGGCCCGUUUCAUCAUGAGGUCAUGGGAAGGCAGAGGAAUGGUGAGAAAAGCAGAAAGUCUUUAGAAGAAGGGAGGCUUUGCCCCAGAGGCAACAUCUAGGAGGACCACAACUUCACCUCCAGCCAAGGCAACGCAAAAAUGGCUUAUGUGUUGCAUCCAGAAAGAGAAAUGCAGGCAAUGACCCAAGCAGCUAAUGCUGAAACCAAAUGUUAAAUGGCGAGCAACACUCACGUUAAGUGGAGUCUGCAAUCCAGCUAAGCGCACUCGAUCUAAGUAACUUGGCUAGAAAAACAUAUUUUUGCAGCUAAAGCCUUACCUCGAGCAGUAAUCACAUUAGAUUUGCAAAUUCCCAUCAGCCCCUGGGGCCAACCCAAGAUAUAUUGCUGCUUUACAGCAACCGUGCUCCUCUAGCAGGGUUGUGCACGGCAAAGGUCGAGGCAGGUUGUCCCGGAUUCCUCCUGUGUGCCUGCGUGCAGCAGCAAUAGAGCCACGUUUCCACGGCACUGCUUUCCUUUUCCUCAGUGCUGGUGGAUAUGGAGUCACAGAAUCUCCCAAGCUGGAUGGGACCCACAGGGACCAUCGAGUCCAACUCCCAGUGCCACACGGGACCACCCAAAAUCUCGAGUCACUUUUUCCACCAUUUCCACCCCAGUGCUGCUAAGGCCGGCAGAGCACUCACAGUGCCAGCUGAGUCACAGCUCUGUCACCCGUUUGCUUCAGACGGAGAUGACUGCCCCGAGAACAAGACAGCUUUUUUAAUUAAAUGCGUUUUAAUUGAAACAAGUCAACCGACAGAUGAAAUUAAACUGGGGCUGCAGCGACAGACUUCUUAACUAAUGCCUUCUAAAGCGGUUACAAUUUACAUUUUGAAAAGAUACAGGAAGCUCAUUAAAGCUGGAACAAACAGUGUGGCAGGCCAGGCUGGGGGGAAGCGGCUGUGCCACCGCAGCCACACUGGAUGAAAGAUACCCAGAACGAUAGCAGCUACUGGACGUGAAUAACACCGCUAUUUGUGUCGUGGCUGUCCUCUCCAGGACUGACUUUUGUGAAGAAGGUCAAAGAUUUUAUGUCUGAUGUUCAGCCACAAAAUGCCAGGCACGGAAUAGUAAUUUCAGUGGAGCUGGGAGCGAGCUCGGUUGAGUUGCGUGGAGUUAGCUGAGGGUGAUUUCCAGCAGAAAGCACAGGUCUGGAACACAUUUCUUUUCUGAGAAUGCCUCUAUUCCAGUGAAGCUUCAUCUAGGAGCCAUCCUCUACAGGUUACAGCCAGAAGAUACAAAGAAAACAGCGCAGACAAAUAGGUAGAAGGACAUGCACGCAGCCACGGUCACACUCCUGAACCAGGAAGGUUAGUGCACUAACCAGGGACAGCCCCAGCUUCAGGGCAGGACGUAUAAACCCUGCAUGGCUUCAUCGAGGUCUUGGUUUUGCUUCGGUACGCUCCAAGAAAUGCUGGAGAAUCACUUCUCACCCACGCUGCUCUUGCAGCUUAACCCAGCGCCCUGCCCGCUGGGCUCUGCCACGCAGGGCUGAGUCACAACCAGAAAGGUAAAUCCUCCUCCGUGGCUACGCAGGAGGAGAGCCUCGGAAUUUCAGUCCAACGGAUUUUGCUUUGUGAAUGCGUUGUCUUUAAUCCCCUAUCAGCACGGCAGUCUCCACCUCCAAACGCUUUUGAAGACUCACUCAAGGAAAUCUUGAGCCUCGCUGGGUUGCUUUUAGAUUUCUAUUUUUAUGGCAUUAUUUGUCUCAGGUCUUCCCCACAGCUCUUAAGGAAAAAGAGGCCCUGAGCUGAUCUCCAGAGCUCAAUCCCUGCGCUGCUCAGUCAGGAAUAUCUGUCCCAGAAGCAGCUGGGGCUGAGCUAGAGCAGGCACUCAGAUCUUCAGAGCAGAAAUGAACGGCCAUGAAAUACAUCACCGUGAGGCAAACCCCGUGAUGGCUUCAAACCUAGAGCACCUUCCUGACGUGCCGUGGACUCUAAAGCAGGAAGAUGAAAGUGAAUAGGAACUGUCACACGGUGAGAAACAAGCUCGUGGUACACAGGGCUCCAGUGCUGCUCUGUAGCAGAGCCCUGACAGUUUGACCUGUGCACACGAAAACUUCAGCAACUCCAGCACAAGCAACAAACACAAGCAGAACCUAAUUUUCCAGUGGCUUGUUUCCACACAUCUUAAUUUUGCCGUUUCAUUACCAAGAACUAAGAUUGUGUUUUGAUUAUGGCUGUUCCUUCUAUUUAGAUUUUUCUGUUUAAGGUAGAUUUAAGGCAGGAGCAAGUUGAGCUCACGUUGGAGCUGCAGCUCUUUGGAUGCUUCAAGGAGGAGCUCAGCUAUCAGUUGGUUCACCCCAGUCCCAGUUGCUCACUCCCACGUGUCAAGUUAUCAGUUCAUUGUAUCAAUAUAAUAUAUCUGCAGCUCUUUCAGUGCACACAGCAUUUCUGGCACACUGAUAGGAGACCUCCCACCAUCUGAUCUUGCCAUCCUGAGUGCUUCCUGGAAGGUGCUGGCACAAAGGAGUGGAUGCAGAAAUGCAUCCAUUCGCUAACGCAUUUAUGGAUGGGUAUUUGGAAGAAUACCAAAGGUACAUAUCCAAGUGGCAGGGAGCAGGCAGACAGAAAAGUGUUAUUUUGCCCCGUAAAUAUAUUGUUACAGGAAGGUUACAUCCAUACUGUAAAUCUGGGCAUGCUCAAGCAAUGGAAAGUAAUCAUCCAUGCGGGAAAAAUGUUAGAAAGUUCCCUGGGACAAAUUUGGGUGCUGAUUUGCUCUUUCCUAGAUAAUUCCUAGGCACAGGACAGUCCAAGAACACCUCCCAGCAGUCAGCUCACAUCCAGCCACCCUCUUCUGGAAAGCAGGAUGCUUUCCAAGACCAGCAAGGAGGAGGGCAUUUUGUGCCAGCUGGACGCAGGGCUCAGGAUACAUUCCAUUCCUGGCCCCAAAAGGGUCAGCAUCAGGAUCAAGCAAUGAGGAAAUCGCUUGGGUUUGCAGAUUUGGGAUUGCUACAGUCCCACUGUAGUGCAGUAUUUGCACUGAGUGGGAUGAGGUUAACUCACUAACCAGCGCAGCUCAUCACAGCCUUCACACUGCCCUGCUAAUUCACAUAGGUUUUCCUACCGUCUUGGUAGGGAGUCAGCCUCAAAGUCCUUUGAAUAUGAAAGAAAACAGAGGAAUACUUUGCUUAUUAAAGGAACCAGAGGGACUUUCACGGAUCUAAACAAGGAAAAAUAUAAAAAGGCGUCUGAGAGAUGGAGCCCCAGGGAAGUAACACGGUUCUGAAGAAGCCCCAGGUGGCACAACCAAACCGGGCUGAGCAACUGAGUCACUCCCUCCUCUCCUGCAGAGUUGAAGCUGUUGCUAUACGGCAUAAUGGUGACACCUACAGGAAAAACUCGUCUUCUACCUCUGCAUCCCACCGAGGGUCCGAUGACAGCACGUAUUUAAUAUUAACAUGCUGUUGAAGGCUGUAGGGAUCAUGAAAGCAAAUAAAGCCUGUACCACUCGUACAAACAAGGGCUGGCUGCAGACCAAGGCCGUUAGUUGGAUGAUGACAAAACAGCAUCCAGGAGCAAGCAGCUCCCUUUACACCAGCCGUAGCUACUGCUAACGAGCAGAGCAGAAAUGACAGCAAGUUAAGCAAUCAAACAAACAAUCCGAAGUAAAACCACUGCAAUAACGCUUCUUUCUGGAUAGGUUUUUCUUGCUGCGCACCCGUGUGUGGCUGCAGGACGUGGCUACUUGAGCAUCCAGACUGCAUUGGGCUGUCACACAGAGCAUAACAUAGAAUCAUAGAAUGGCUUGGGUUGGAAGGGACCUUUGGAAGACCACCAGGACCUUCUCUGCAGAGCUUUUUUCCAACCUGUACUGAUGCACGCUGUCUUUCCUCACCACGUGCAGGACCCUACACCUGUCCUGCCACUGAUUUUCAAAAUGAGCUUUGAAAGAUUGUUCAUAUGAAAACAAAGCUUUGCAGUAGAGCCUACAGCUCAGUUUGGUUUUGAGACUGUCAUCAGUUCCAUGCUGCUCCCAAAUUUCUCAGUCGUAUCUGGUCGUCCUGUGGCAGACAGAUCCGCAUUUAAGCACGUGAUGGUAUGUGCAGAGAGCAGUGCGGUGCACAGCAAUGACCGAUGACCAAAAACAAUUCUAUUGAUGAUGUUUAGAUGUCCGAUAAUCUCCAGUUUUCCGUUUUAUUGUUUUCCCCCCCAAAAAUAUCCCUCCAGCAACAAGCGGUUUUAAAAGGCCACACUCAGCGCUCGGUCGGAAUGCUGUGACCAGAAAGCAAGUCAAAACCAGCCAAAAAUUAAAAUACUUGGUUUUGAGCUGAAGGAGGGAAGAUCGGGGGCGAGGGGAAAGUUCUUUAUAGAGAGAAUGGU